UAAAUAUGUAAGGUAGAUACUUAAGUCUUGAUGAACCUCAAAUAUCAAUUAUUGAUUAAAUUGGAAAUAGAUUAUUUGAUACUAUUACAGAUCAAAUUAAUAGUUUGAUUUCACAAUAUUCAUUUUUUUGAUUACAGAUCAUUGAAACUAUGCCGAUGACUGAGAAAGUUGAAGAAUUGCUACAUGUCAUAGGUCCAUUUUAUGAAAUUGUAGAAGACAAAAAGAGUGGCAGGAGUUCUGAUUUAACCUCAGUCCGACUGGAGAAAAUCUCUAAAUAUUUAGAAGAUCUUGGUAAUGUUCUUACUUCUACUCCAAAUGCCAAAACUAUUAAUGGAAAAGCUGAAAGCAGUGAUAGUGGAGCUGAGUCAGAGGAAGAAGAGGUUCAGGAGGAAGUAAAGGGAGCAGAACAAAGUGGUAAUGAUAAGCAAAUGAUGAAGAAAUCAGGAGAGCAUAAGAAUUUGGAAGUCAUUGUCACUAACGGUUAUGAUAAAGACAGCUUUAUUCAGGAUGUACAGGAUGGCAUUCAGGCCACUUCUUUCCUGAAUGGUGGAAGGGCUGAAGAAGUAAAACCUGUAGAGCAAAAUGUGGAGCAAACUGGAAAAACUGCUGUCUGCGUUCACCAAGAUAUAAAUGAUGAUCAUAUUGAAGAUGUUUCAGGGAUUCAGCAUUUGACAAGUGAUUCAGACAGUGAAGUUUACUGUGAUUCUAUGGAGCAGUUUGGACAAGAAGAGUCUUUAGAUAAUUUUACGUCAGACAUUGGACCAUUUCACUAUUACGUGGGUGGUGAUCCCACCACACCCUUGGAAAAUUCUGGUUUCCCUGAAGAUGUUCAAGGACCACCCGGAACUGGGAGCAUUGGGACUGUGCAGGUGGUAGCAGUAAAAGGUGAAGUAAAACAUGGAGGAGAAGAUGGCAGAAGUAACAGUGGAGCACCACCCCAUGAGAAGCGAGCAGGAGAGAGCGAGGAACUCUCUAAUGUCAGAAGAGGGAGAGGGCACAGGGUGCCGCAUCUGAGUGAGGGGAGCAGGGGCCGACAAGCGGGGAGCGGAGGCGACGGCGAGCGCUGGGGCUCGGACAGGGCCCCUCGAGGCCACCUCAGCGAGCAGAUUGCACUGGUGCUCAUGCGGCUGCAGGAGGACAUGCAGAACGUGCUGCAGAGGCUGCACCACCUGGAGACACUGGCCGCAUCGCAAGUAAGCGUCUGCUUCGCCGUCCCGUCCUCUUCCUUUGGUCUUCCCGCAGGGGCAGUGACUCUCCGCUGGUCACAUUCACACAGGUCACACGCUUUCACACAUUUUCACAAAUUUAAUGACUUUUAAAAAAUUCAAAGAGCUCUCUGUAAGAAUAUUGUUUUAGAAAAGACUGACCAAAGGCUGGUAAUCCUAGCACUCUGGGAGGCUGCGGCAGGAGGAUCGCAGUGAGUUCCAGGCCAGCCUAAAUACAUAGUGAGUUCAAAGCCAGCUUGAACCACAUAGCGAGACCCUGUCUUAAAAAAGACCUUUUAGGAUUAAAGAAUUAAAGAGUUUGAGUCCAACCUGGGUAACUUAGGGAAACCCUGUCUCAGUAUAAAAACUAAAAUGAGUUGGAGAUGAAGCUCAGUACAACAACCUGGGUUCAAUCCCAAGUCUUGCCAAAAAAAAAAAAGACAAGAAAAGACAAUACAGCUAGUAAGCUGCAAAACUUUAAACAGAACCCAGUCAUCCUGUACCCUGGGCUAGUGGUCUUUCCACUGUGGCAGAUUGCUGUCUUAUUUGAAUAGAGCCAGGGAGCUGUCUCUGGAAGAAGUACCAGAAGAAGGGGAAAAAGUUCACAGGAAGACAUAGAUCAGCUUACUUCCUUUGCAGUGAUUGCUACAGGUUGAGCGUUUCUAUUCAGAAUGUUUAGGACCAGAAGUGUUGCAGCGUUUGGAAUAUUUCCAUAGACUUUACCAGUUGAGCAUGUAGAAAUUUGAAAUCAGAAAUGCUCCCAAAUUCGAAAACCUGUUUAACUGUUGAAUGUCAUUUUAGCACUCAAAAUUUUAGCAGAUCUUGGAGCAUUUUGGAUUUUGGGUUUUCAAAUUAGGGAUGCUCACUCUGUGUUAUAUGAGAUUUUUCCUUUCACGAGGAAAAACAAAGUUGAGAAGAGGCUGGGGAUGUAGCUCAGUGGUAGAGUGCUUGCCUACCAUGUGUAAGGCUCCGGGUUAGAUCCCUAGCACUGCCGAACAAACCCACAAAAAGCAGUAAUCUUAAUUUUGCAAUAGUAGUGGGAUAAAAUGAUGAGACAGUGGAUUUCUAAAUAAGUAGAAGCUAUAUACAAGCUACAUGAUAUUUAUUGGUAAAUAUCUUUAAAGCCAAAAUAAAGUUAUGUUAAAAACUAUGUGUUGCUCCAGAAAGAAUGGCUGCUAUCAAGAAAUCAACCAAUCACAAAUGCUGGUGGGGCUGUGGGGAGAAAGGAAUCCUUCUCCAUUGUUGGUGGGAGUGCAGGCUGGUGCAACCACUGUGGAAAUCAGUGUGGAGAUUCCUCAAAAAAUUAAAGUUAGAAGUCCCAUUGGACCCAGCCAUUUCCCCUUCUUAGUACCUUCUUGAAAGAAUUAAAAGCAUCAUAGCACAGCGAUAAUGUGCACUCAUGUUUGUAGAGGGACAGUUUGUAAUAGCCAGAGCUUGGAAACAGCCCAAGUGCCCAUCAGCCAACUAACAGAUAAAGAUGUGGUCAUCCAUAGAGAAGGAUGAGGUUCAGACAUUUAUAGCUCAGUAGAUGCACCUGAGACCAUACUCUUAAAUAAGAGUUUAAAUAUCAUGUUUAAAUACCACAUUGUUUCUGUGGUGUGAGUGGAAAUAAGGACUAAAAUGUGUAAUAGAUGUUGGGAAUGGGAAGAAAAUGUUCAGAUGGGAAGGGGAACAAGGGAGAGGGAGGGAGAAAGAAGGAAAGGACAAGAUAAAAAGUGAACAUAGGAGGAAAAAUGGAAACAAAGCUUCUGUACACGGGAGGGGAGGGGAGGGGAGUGGGAAAAAAGAGGCGGGAUGUAUCAUGUAUAGGUGCAAAUUGCCUACAAUGUGUGGGUUUGUGUUUUGUAAUUUUUUUUUUCCCGGUACUGAGGAUUGAAUUCAAGACCUUGUGGUUGGUUGCGAGGCAGGGCCCAUGCCACUGAGCUACAUCCCUGGCCGGCCCUACAAUGAGUGAUACCAUUAUGUAUGCCUAAAAUGUACCAGUAAAUGUUUUCCUAUUAAACACACAGAAAGCGGCCAUUCUGGUGCAUGCCUGGGCAGCCCUCUUGGCUGGCGGAGGCCGGAGGGUUCUGUCAGGUAAAAGGGCCGAAGACCAAGACCAGACCAGGCCACAACAAGCCUUUAUUAGGGGAACAGAUCUGCUGAGCUGUCUCUGAACAAAGGAGAGACAAAAGCAACAUGGCCGGGGCAGGGAGAGUCUUUUAUAGAGACUGGGGUGGGGUUUGUAGGGGCUGAGGCGGGGUUGA
rnacentral:lncRNA from 1 species